rnacentral:rRNA from 1 species
UACGGAGGGUGCGAGCGUUGUCCGGAAUCACUGGGCGUAAAGGGCGCGUAGGUGGCGCGGGCAGUCAACGGUGAAAGUUCGGGGCUCAACCCUGAAUCGGCCGUCGAUACUCCCGGGCUUGAGCACUGUAGAGGCAGAUGGAAUUCCGGGUGUAGCGGUGGAAUGCGUAGAGAUCCGGAAGAACACCGGUGGCGAAGGCGGUUAGCUGGGCAGUUGCUGACACUGAGGCGCGACAGCGUGGGGAGCAAA